CAUGUGCAACAUGGCAAAGAACAUUUAUGAGAGGUAAUAAAUCUAGCGAGAGACACAGAGAGAGAAAACUAGCUUUCUCAAGUCGAUUAUACCUCUUUAUGUGCAUAUUACAUAGAUCUAGCAUAUGAAUUUCAAGUUUUGAUGGGCUCCAUUGUUGCAAACGCGAAAGCUGUUUACGAUUUUUCUACUAUAACGAAUCGGCGUUGUCAAAUACAAUUACUUCACAUGUUUUCUGUGGAAUAGAAUCGGAUUACAAUAACGAAAUGAUCAAAUCUGUCAAUUAAAUGCGAUUCAGGUGGCGGGGGACGCAUUGGCUUUUGAAAUGAGGAGAGGAGGGCGUGUAGAGAAGGUGAAAGUGCGCAACUGAUGCAAAUGACAAGAAAUUUAUGUUGCACACCGUUGUUUAUUUAACGAUAGAGCCAUUAUGAAUUCAUACAAAUAUUCGGCUAAAUGGGCUUGUAUUCAAGAAUAAACGGAUUAUAGGUGAAGUUGUUAUAAACUAGAAUUCGGCGCCAAACCAACCGAUCUUUUUUACAGCCAAACGUGACGUGACAUAUUUAUUAACCGUCACACUUCUUUUUCUCUCACUCCUCGCUCUCUUCUUGCGUUCUGUCUCUUGCUGCCUUCGUCGACAUGAAUGUGUUAACAACAUUCUUAUUAGUAAGUUACAUUUUAAAUGCGUAUAUACAUUUUCAGUGCGGAAAUUAUGAUUUCAAACAAUUUGUGUUGACGGUUCAAAUAUCG